rnacentral:rRNA from 1 species
CCUACGGGCGGCAGCAGUGAGGAAUAUUGGUCAAUGGACGAGAGUCUGAACCAGCCAAGUAGCGUGAAGGAUGACUGCCCUAUGGGUUGUAAACUUCUUUUAUAUGGGAAUAAAAUGUUCCACGUGUGGGAUUUUGUAUGUACCAUAUGAAUAAGGAACGGCUAACUCCGUUCCAGCAGCCCCGGUAAUACGGAGGAUCCGAGGGGUAUCCGGAUUUAUUGGGUUGAAAGGGAGCGGAGGUGGAUUUUUAAGUCAGUUGUGAAAGUUGGCGGCUCAACCGUAAAAUUGCAGUUGAAACUGGCAGUCGUGAGUACAGUAGAGGUGGGCGGAAUGCGUGGUGUAGCGGUGAAAUGCUUAGAUAUCACGAAGAACUCCGAUUGCGAAGGCAGUUCACUGGACUGCAACUGACACUGAGGCUCGAAAGUGUGGGUAUCAAACAGGAUUAGAUACCCCGGUAGUC